UGGAGCUGCUCAUUUACGUGACAAAUCACAAGUGGGACGACGAGCCAGGUCUCGGGAUCCAUCGCCAUGGUUACAAUUGAACGGCUGGUUGCCCGGACAACAAAGGUGUAUGACAGCAAUCAACAUGUUGAUGAGAAAACCAAAGGCACCGCCCCUCUGCUCAAAACAACCCCUUUGUUUUUCACACCAUUGAUUUUUCACUGUGUUCUCCUGACGGGACACACGGGUCAGGUCACAGCAAGGUUCUGCUUAUGUAGCAAAAACAGUUCGCUCUAAAAAGGAAACGUUUGUGUGCGUGUGUGUGUGUGUCUUUGAGCACACUCAAGAAUCACAGUCCGUACAGUUGAUUACAUUCUUGAACGAGGUGUGUGCGUACAAUUCUUGUUUGUGCUGAGCAGACGGUUAUUCUUCCAGUGGACCAGAGGGCAGCGUUUCCCAGAACCAAAGAGUUUCAGGAGAGAAUGUUUUUUUGGACAACCACAUAAUUCCUUACACAGUAUCUGCUGUUAACGGACAGAGAUAGAAAUGCUCGUGCUGCUCCAUCAGGAAAACAGCUAUUUUAUUUUUUUUCAGCCAACUUUUCACACACUGAGGAUGUUUCUUUAAAAAUGUUCUCAAUGGAAACUUGUAACACCUCAAAGAAAUGUAAUCAAAUUAAAACUGCAACUAAUCAAUUA